CUACGGGCGGCUGCAGUGAGGAAUAUUGCACAAUGGGGGGAACCCUGAUGCAGCAACGCCGCGUGGAGGAUGACGCAUUUCGGUGUGUAAACUCCUUUUAUAUGUCAAGAAAAUGACGGUAGCAUAUGAAUAAGCACCGGCUAACUCCGUGCCAGCAGCCGCGGUAAUACGGAGGGUGCAAGCGUUACUCGGAAUCACUGGGCGUAAAGGACGCGUAGGCGGGUUGGAAAGUCAGGUGUGAAAUCCUACAGCUUAACUGUAGAACUGCACUUGAAACUUCUAAUCUAGAGUAUGGGAGGGGGAGAUGGAAUUAGUGGUGUAGGGGUAAAAUCCGUAGAUAUCACUAGGAAUACCUAAAGCGAAGGAGUUCUCCUGGAACAUUACUGACGCUAAGGCGUGAAAGCGUGGGAGCAAACAGGAUUAGAUACCCCCGUAGUC
rnacentral:rRNA from 1 species